rnacentral:rRNA from 1 species
UACAGGCUUAACACAUGCAAGUCGAGGGGCAGCAUGAUCGAAGCUGCUUGAUGAUGGCGACCGGCGCACGGGUGAGUAACGCGUAUCCAACCUUCCCUAUAGUAGAGAAUAGCCCGGCGAAAGUCGGAUUAAUGCUCUAUGUUGUAUUUAGAAGACAUCUGAAGAAUACCAAAGGUUUACCGCUAUAGGAUGGGGAUGCGUCUGAUUAGGUUGUGGCGGGGUAACGGCCCACCAAGCCCACGAUCAGUAGGGGUUCUGAGAGGAAGGUCCCCCACAUUGGAACUGAGACACGGUCCAAACUCCUACGGGAGGCAGCAGUGAGGAAUAUUGGUCAAUGGACGAAAGUCUGAACCAGCCAAGUAGCGUGCAGGAUGACGGCCCUAUGGGUUGUAAACUGCUUUUAUACAGGGAUAAAGUGCGGCACGUGUGCUGUUUUGUAUGUACCUGAUGAAUAAGGACCGGCUAAUUCCGUGCCAGCAGCCGC